AAAAAAAAAAGAAAGAAAAGAAAGGAAAAAUGAGCAAGGCAGACCAAUUCCAGUUUUUUUUGGUGUACAGUGAUAUGUGAUAUUGUUAUUAAUUGUGCCUGCUUCUUAUUUUUUUGUGUGUUCCAGUACAGAAUAUUUUCCUAGCCUAAUUUACCUUGAGCCAGAAGUGAAGUUGCCUGGUGCCCUGCCUUGGGUUAACUUUGGCAGCAAAGACAUACCUAUCUUUAAAGUUUGGGGCUGGCAGCUGUUAUCACCACAUGGUAGUUAAGAGGACAUACCAGAGCUACUAACAGUGAUUGUGUCUGUGAUUCAAGUUUUCCUAAAGGACAGUGAGGGAAAAUGACAAAGAGGUAAAUUAGAAAAUAUAAGGGAAGAGAGAGAUUCACUUGAUACACACCACUUUGAAUGAAUCUACUAUGGGCUAGGUAUUUUGCUAGGCUCUGGGUUUAGGAUAAAAAGACACCUGUUUCCGUGAUCUAUUGUUACACAAAAAACUACCCCAAAACUUAGUGGCUGUUAAAUUUUAUUUUGCUUGUGAUUUUGUAGGUCAGGUAUGCAGAAGGGCGUUGCUGGAUUUUUGAUCCAUAUGUGUCACCUGCAGUGACUGAGCUGGCAAAUCCAUUUCCAAGAUGGCUUCUUCAUUUACAUGUCUGGUGCCAUGGUACUCCUUGGCUCUUCCUUUUUUCCACAUGGCGUCUCAUUCUCUAGAUCAUCUCCAUAUGGUUUAGGCUUCCCACAGUAGUUGAUCUCAGGAUAGUUAGGCUUUUCAUGCAGUGACUGGUGAGUGGUACAAACCACCCGAGUGGAAGCUGCAAGCCUUCUAUGACCUAGCCUUGCAAGUUCCAAAAUGUCCCUUAAGCUGCAUUCUGUUAGUCAAGCAAGUCACUAAGUCCAGCUUUGAUUAAAGGGGAGGGGAAUUAGACUCCAUCUCUCAAUGACCAUCUUUAUUCCACUGCAGUGUCUUUCAUGAACUCAGUGGUUAAUGGCUGGGAUAUGAGAAAAUUCUUACUGUGCCCUUCCUUAAAAACUAUUUU